rnacentral:rRNA from 1 species
AACGCUGGCGGCGUGCUUAACACAUGCAAGUCGAGCGAUGAAGCACCUUCGGGUGUGAAUUAGCGGCGAACGGGUGAGGAACACGUGAGAAAUCUGCCCUUGACUCUGGGAUAACUGCGGGAAACUGUAGCUAAUACCGGAUACGACCCUUGGAGGCAUCUCUGGGGGUGGAAAGAAUUUCCGGUCAAGGAUGAGCUCGCGGCCUAUCAGCUAGUUGGUGAGGUAAUGGCUCACCAAGGCGACGACGGGUAGCCGGCCUGAGAGGGUGACCGGCCACACUGGAACUGAGACACGGUCCAGACUCCUACGGGAGGCAGCAGUGGGGAAUAUUGCACAAUGGGCGAAAGCCUGAUGCAGCAACGCCGCGUGAGGGAUGAAGGCCUUCGGGUUAUAAACCUCUUUUAGCAGGGAAGAAGCGAAAGUGACGGUACCUGCAGAAAAGCACCGGCUAACUACGUG